rnacentral:misc_RNA from 1 species
AUAGAUUCGAAAUCAAUAAAAUCGGCUAACACUCAUAAAUAAUUUAAGAGAUCCAACCGUCGGUUAGGCGGCCGGUGAAGGUGCGAUCGGCGGCUUCAUCGGUGUCGAUUUCCUUAUGCCGGCGCUCGAUCCGAUUUCCUUGUGCCGGAGCCGAUCGAGCUCCGCUCGCCGGCGCUCGAUUCGAUUUCCUUGUGCCUGAGCUGAUCGAGCUCCGCUCGAUCCGAUGGUCCGGCG